AAAAUGUUAUCUCUUCCGCUCUUCGACUCUUCCCUCAAAGGCUCAAACUGACAAACUCUCACUCUCUCAGUCUCCAUCCUAGAAACAAAAACGGAGAAGGAUCGGCCGCACCAAACAAUCACGGCACGUCUCCAGCGAGACGUUAAAGGUCUCCCUCGUCCUCGUCCUGUCACCAAACAAUCAGUGCGCGUAGUCCUCGUCUCGAUUGCAAAUCCUACAAAUCAAGUAAUAGAAUAUCAAAACCCAGACGAGCGAGACGACCUCCCUCAAAGUCUCACUCUCUCAGUCUCCUUCGAUUUGUCAGCCUCCUUCGAUUUGUUGAGUGACUGAGUAUAGGAGAGCGAACACAGCUGCAACCAGCAACCCGUCUCCGCCAGUCCGCCUCUCCGGUCUCCGAGCUCCGCCUUCAGGCUCCAGGUAGAAGAGAAACUUGAGUCUGGACAGGGGAAGACAACUUUCCGCCGUUUCUUUUCUAGAUUUUGUACACCAAUCUUUUUGGAGUCAUUCGUUCUAACAUUUUUAGCUGAGUGGGGAGAUCGUAGCCAAAUAGCGACAAUCGCUGAAAUCUUGACCUACAGAUUGCUUCUUGCUUACUGCCUUGGAGUUGGAGAUCUAAUUCCAUGUCCGAAGCAUCUGCUAGCUCCUCUGACCCAUCCGCUUCCAAUUUUGAAUGAUGCAGCUGCAAUUUAGUUUGCUGCAAAUUGAUUUAUUUGCUGCAAAUUGAUUUAGUUUUCAGUAUUUAAGUUUGCUGCAAAUUGAUGCAGCUGCAUUGUUUAAUUUGGACUAAGUUUAUUCACUUUAUUGUUUAGUUUUAUUUGCUGCAUGUGAGACUUUGAGUUUGCAGUUUAUGCAUGUGAAACUUUUGAUUGUUUGUGUUUGA